GUUUUUAUAAUUUAACUAAAAUGUCGGUCUUGUAAGCCGAAAAUAGAUUCUAAAAGAAACUUAAAAACA
rnacentral:tRNA from 1 species